GUGCUCCUCUGUGAGCCUGGCCACUUUUUAUUGUGUCACCAGGGAGCAUUCUGUAUGCAAAGCAGGCUGGGCUGGCAGCCUGAACCUUUGCAAAUCAAUUUGUCUGUGAAGGCGAGUCCGCUGGAGUGAAAGAUGGUCUAACAGGGCAUGCUGCCCCCUCUCUUAGUGACAUCAUCGCCUGUGGUACUCUUGUCAGUCAUGUCUGCCCAAAGGACCGACUGCUGGGGGAAAGAUGAGAGCCACGUUUGUCCUGCACCAGGGACAAUAGAUUCAUCUCCUGGUAAGAAGUCUGGGGGAGGGGAAACCCCACCUACCUGACCCUGUGCACAUGGGUUUGAUAUGUGAACACUUAGAGAGCCCUCUGAACCCGUGUGGGCUCACUGCAGUGGGCUCUGUACCACUUACCCAGUUAGAGGAACUUGGACAAGUUACCAAAGUAAUUUAGGACUUGGUUUCCUCAACUUCAAAAUGAGAAUGACCAAAAAGAAAAAAAGAAAAAAAUCCACUGUGUGGAGAUUUAGGAAGCAUUAAAGUUAAGGUUUAUAGACUGCUGGGCAGAGGACUGGCACACAGUUAGCCCUCAGUAAAUGUAAGCCUUUGCACUAAUGUCAUCAACUGGGGGGAGUAUUAAAUAGGAUGCAGUUGUGUACUGGUAGAUAAAGAAGAAUAUUUUGAGCUUUGAAUAGCUCUAUCAUUUAUGGGACACA
rnacentral:lncRNA from 1 species